UACGUAGGGUGCAAGCGUUAAUCGGAAUUACUGGGCGUAAAGCGUGCGCAGGCGGUUAUGUAAGACAGAUGUGAAAUGCCCGGCUUAACCUGGGAACUGCAUUUGUGACUGCAUGGCUAGAGUUUGGCAGAGGGGGGUAGAAUUCCACGUGUAGCAGUGAAAUGCGUAGAUAUGUGGAGGAACACCGAUGGCGAAGGCAGCCCCCUGGGUCAAGACUGACGCUCAUGCACGAAAGCGUGGGGACAAAC
rnacentral:rRNA from 1 species